rnacentral:tRNA from 1 species
GGGCAGGUGGCCGAGCGGCCAAUGGCAUCAGGCUGUAAACCUGACGGAUUUAUUUCCUACGGGGGUUCAAAUCCCUCCCUGCCCA